CCUACGGGAGGCUGCAGUGGGGAAUAUUGCACAAUGGGGGAAACCCUGAUGCAGCGACGCCGCGUGAGUGAAGAAGUAUCUCGGUACGUAAAGCUCUAUCAGCAGGGAGGAAAAUGACGGUACCUGACUAAGAAGCCACGGCUAACUACGUGCCAGCCGCCGCGGUAAUACGUAGGGGGCAAGCGUUAUCCGGAUUUCCUGGGUGUAAAGGGAGCGGAGACGGCAGGACCAGUCUGGAGUGAAAUCCCGGGGCUUAACCCCGGAACGGCUUUGGAAACUGGGCGGCUGGAGUGCAGGAGGGGUAAGCGGAAUUCCUGGUGUAGCGGUGAAAUGCGUAGAUAUUAGGAGGAACCCCGGUGGCGAAGGCGGCUUACCGGACUGUAACUGACGUUGAGGCUCGAAAGCGUGGGGAGCAAACAGGAUUAGAUACCCGAGUAGUC
rnacentral:rRNA from 1 species